UUUCUCUGGAAGGGUGUAUCUAGGACAUCAGCCUACCCACAGUUCUGGGCUGCGUCUGUUACUGCCUUGCUUACCCUGCCCCCCACCCAUAACUUCAGAGAAAGGAAAACGGACUGAGCCUCAGCACCCACACACCAUGGCUGCCUUGAAUCCAGAGUCAUCAAUACUGGAGUCUUAAAGAGAAAAUCAAGAAAGUCUCGUGUCACCGAGCAGGCUGAAGAGGGCAAGUGAAACCCUGAGGCAGCCAAGAUCUCUGCUGGAAAUCCAAAACAUCAAUUCUUUGUAUUCAGGGAACAACCUGCAGAACAUUGGGAGAUGAUGCAGUUAAAAUGUCGUCUUCAUAGAGAUGAGGUCAUGACUAUAAACACAAUCUUUUAAAGCAUGAAUGAAUAGUCCUCCUCUUGAAGGGCAGUUGCUUGCAAGGGGACGUCACUGUCUUUGAGAGCUUCAAAUUUUUGGAUAUUCAAGUUGUGUAUAGAAGAAAAUAUCACUCCUUCUUAAACUGA
rnacentral:lncRNA from 1 species